rnacentral:rRNA from 1 species
AGAGUUUGAUCCUGGCUCAGGAUGAACGCUAGCGGCAGGCCGAAUACAUGCAAGUCGAACGAACGCUUCGGCGUUAGUGGCGCAUGGGUGCGUAACACGUAGGCAAUCUACCCUAUGGCGGGGGAUAACACUGGGAAACCGGUGCUAAUACCGCAUAGAUUCACUGGGGGGCAUCCUCGUAGUGGGUAAAGAUUUAUCACCAUAGGAUGAGCCUGCGUCCGAUUAGCUAGUUGGGGGUGUAACGGACCACCAAGGCGACGAUCGGUAGCUGGUCUGAGAGGAUGAUCAGCCACACUGGCACUGAGACACGGGCCAGACUCCUACGGGAGGCAGCAGUAGGGAAUAUUGGUCAAUGGGCGCAAGCCUGAACCAGCCAUGCCGCGUGCGGGAAGACGGUCCACAGGAUUGUAAACCGCUUUUCUACGGGGAUAAGGCGCCAUUAGAUGGCGAUUGAAGGUACCGUAGGAAUAAGCACCGGCAAACUACGUGCCAGCAGCCGCGGUAAUACGUAGGGUGCAAGCGUUGUCCGGAAUUACUGGGUUUAAAGGGUACGUAGGCGGCUUCAUAAGCUGCGGGUGAAAUACUGGGGCUUAACCCUGGUGCUGCCUGCAGAACUGUGGGGCUUGAGCACGGCUGAGGUAGCUGGAAUUAGUGGUGUAGCGGUGAAAUGCGUAGAUAUCACUAGGAACGCCAAUUGCG